rnacentral:rRNA from 1 species
UACGAAGGGGGCUAGCGUUGCUCGGAAUCACUGGGCGUAAAGUGUGCGUAGGCGGGUCUUUAAGUCAGGGGUGAAAUCCUGGAGCUCAACUCCAGAACUGCCUUUGAUACUGAAGAUCUUGAGUUCGGGAGAGGUGAGUGGAACUGCGAGUGUAGAGGUGAAAUUCGUAGAUAUUCGCAAGAACACCAGUGGCGAAGGCGGCUCACUGGCCCGAUACUGACGCUGAGGCACGAAAGCGUGGGGAGCAAACAGG